AUGGCAUCACGAGGGCUUAACUGUCUCCCCUCUCCAGUCAAUGAAAUUGACUUUCCCGUGCAGAGGCGGGAAUAUCUGUAUAAGACGAGAAGACCCUGUGGAGCUUUAGACCUAAAAUAAGCCACGUUUAGUAUACUAUUACACCAGUAAAAACCUAAUGGUUAAAUAUUGAAGUGUCUUUGGUUGGGGCGACCGCGGGGUAAAACACAACCCCCUUGUGGACUGGGGAUACUAUCCCUAAUACUCAGAGCCUCUACUCCAAGUAACAGAAAUUCUGACUUUCUGAUCCGGUAUAACCGAUCAACGAACCGAGUUACCCCAGGGAUAACAGCGCAAUCCCCUCUCAGAGCCCUUAUCGACGAGGGGUUUACGACCUCGAUGUUGGAUCAGGACAUCCUAAUGGUGUAGCCGCUAUUAAGGGUUCGUUUGUUCAACGAUUAAAGUCCUACGUGAUCUGAGUUCA
rnacentral:rRNA from 1 species